rnacentral:rRNA from 1 species
CCUGGCGGCGGCCUACACAUGCAAGUCGAGCGAGACCUUCGGGUCUAGCGGCGGACGGGUUAGUAACGCGUGGGAAUAUACCCUUCACUACGGAAUAGCCUCGGGAAACUGGGAGUAAUACCGUAUACGCCCUUUUGGGGAAAGAUUUAUCGGUGAAGGAUUAGCCCGCGUCUGAUUAGAUAGUUGGUGGGGUAAUGGCCUACCAAGUCUACGAUCAGUAGCUGGUUUGAGAGGAUGAUCAGCAACACUGGGACUGAGACACGGCCCAGACUCCUACGGGAGGCGGCAGUGGGGAAUCUUAGACAAUGGGCGCAAGCCUGAUCUAGCCAUGCCGCGUGAGUGACGAAGGCCUUAGGGUCGUAAAGCUCUUUCGCCAGAGAUGAUAAUGACAGUAUCUGGUAAAGAAACCCCGGCUAACUCCGUGCCAGCAGCCGCGGUAAUACGGAGGGGGUUAGCGUUGUUCGGAAUUACUGGGCGUAAAGCGCACGUAGGCGGAUUGGAAAGUAUGGGGUGAAAUCCCAGGGCUCAACCCUGGAACUGCCUUGUAAACUCCCAGUCUAGAGUUCGAGAGAGGUGAGUGGAAUUCCAAGUGUAGAGGUGAAAUUCGUAGAUAUUUGGAGGAACACCAGUGGCGAANGCGGCUCACUGGCUCGAUACUGACGCUGAGGUGCGAAAGUGUGGGGAGCAAACAGGAUUAGAUACCCUGGUAGUCCACACCGUAAACGAUGAAUGCCAGACGUCAGGGGGCUUGCCCUUUGGUGUCACACCUNACGGAUAAGCAUUCCGCCUGGGGAGUACGGUCGCAAGAUNAAACUCAA